rnacentral:lncRNA from 1 species
UCGAAUCGCUGGUUUUCUCCUAAGUCAAGUUCCAAGUCCAACAUGUAUAUUCAACUAAUUACUAAGCAUGCUCCAAAUUCAGAUUUUUAUAUCAUACUCAUCGAUGAAUUCGAGCUACAACACGAUAUUCCGAAGUCGAAACUAUACAUGUAUACUAUACAUAUACUUAGGAGUCAAAACCGAUGAUAAACCCACCUAAAAAGCAAUACCUGGCAGCAAAGAGAACUUGCAGCUGUGGAACACCCUGUCGGAAAUAGCCGCACCUGCUCUCUGCCCGCAAGUGUCCACAAUCUAAGAUUGAACAUCAAAAAUCACAAAAACCAUCAAUUUACACUAAUUUCAGCACUUAAGCUAAUUUAGCUCAAUCUCAAUCUCAAAACUCACCUAAUCACAUCCAAAUCUGGUGAGGAUGGUCUCAAAUCCAGUGGACUACACAAAGAUAUCAGACUCAGGUCCAAACUUCCCCUGCUUCCAAAGAUCGCAUCAAGAAAAGCUCAAAAAUCUCAUUUCCAGAUCAAAGUCAACAGCAGUCCAGAAAAACCUCAGUUCGACCAAGCUAACCUCAACCAAAAUCUGCAAUUCUGGGCUUCGUGGAUUCCACUAGAAGUCUGGAAUCUAGCAAACUAAGUUUCACCGCGAUCCGACCUUCCUAUGUCGCACACGAGCCAAAACACCGAAAGCCGUUGCUGAAAAACUGCAGGAUCAGCACCUACCAAGCUGAAUCAAUGGAAGUUUGAUGCAAUUUGUGGCAAUCCGAGGGUUUAAGAUGCUAAAAUGAACUUCUCUGUGAAGAAGGGAGGAAAAGAGCAGCAAAGGGGCAUAUACCAGGUAUUUAUAGGGUGUUGGAGUAGUUAGAUAACCCUCAGGAAUAAUUGCUGAAAUAUGAUGUCCCUGCAGAAAAUCCGAUAUCUGGGCGCCCUAAACCUAGUUCUGGGCGCCCAGAACUUCCAGCCUACACAAAUGCUCCCCUUCGAUUCCUCCGCCCGCGGUGUGCUGCGCCCGUAAAC